AGUGGGGAAUCUUGGACAAUGGGCGCAAGCCUGAUCCAGCCAUGCCGCGUGAGUGAAGAAGGCCUUAGGGUUGUAAAGCUCUUUUGCCAGGGACGAUAAUGACGGUACCUGGAGAAUAAGCCCCGGCAAACUUCGUGCCAGCAGCCGCGGUAAUACGAAGGGGGCUAGCGUUGUUCGGAUUUACUGGGCGUAAAGCGCACGUAGGCGGAUUGUUAAGUCAGGGGUGAAAUCCCGGAGCUCAACUCCGGAACUGCCUUUGAUACUGGCAAUCUUGAGGCUGGAAGAGGUUAGUGGAAUUCCCAGUGUAGAGGUGAAAUUCGUAGAUAUUGGGAAGAACACCAGUGGCGAAGGCGGCUAACUGGUCCAGAUCUGACGCUGAGGUGCGAAAGCGUGGGGAGCAAA
rnacentral:rRNA from 1 species